UACGAAGGGGGCUAGCGUUGUUCGGAUUUACUGGGCGUAAAGCGCACGUAGGCGGAUCGUUAAGUCGGGGGUGAAAUCCUGGAGCUCAACUCCAGAACUGCCUUCGAUACUGGCGAUCUUGAGUCCGGAAGAGGUGAGUGGAACUCCUAGUGUAGAGGUGGAAUUCGUAGAUAUUAGGAAGAACACCGGUGGCGAAGGCGGUUCUCUGGGCAUUACCUGACGCUGAGGAGCGAAAGUGUGGGGAGCGAACAGG
rnacentral:rRNA from 1 species